rnacentral:rRNA from 1 species
AUUGAACGCUGGCGGAAUGCUUUACACAUGCAAGUCGAACGGCAGCACGGGGGCAACCCUGGUGGCGAGUGGCGAACGGGUGAGUAAUACAUCGGAACGUGCCCAGUCGUGGGGGAUAACGUAGCGGAAGUUACGCUAAUACCGCAUACGAUCUACGGAUGAAAGCGGGGGACCGUAAGGCCUCGCGCGAUUGGAGCGGCCGAUGUCAGAUUAGGUAGUUGGUGAGGUAAAGGCUCACCAAGCCGACGAUCUGUAGCUGGUCUGAGAGGACGACCAGCCACACUGGGACUGAGACACGGCCCAGACUCCUACGGGAGGCAGCAGUGGGGAAUUUUGGACAAUGGGCGCAAGCCUGAUCCAGCCAUUCCGCGUGCAGGACGAAGGCCUUCGGGUUGUAAACUGCUUUUGUACGGAACGAAAAGGCUCUGGUUAAUACCUGGGGCUCAUGACGGUACCGUAAGAACAAGCACCGGCUAACUACGUGCAGCCGCCGCCGUAA